rnacentral:tRNA from 1 species
UCCUUGGUGGUCCAGUGGUUGGGACUCUGUGCCUCCGAUGCAGGGGGCACAGGUUUGAUCCCUGGUCAGGGAG